rnacentral:rRNA from 1 species
AUUCCAGCUCCAAUAGCGUAUAUUAAAGUUGUUGCAGUUAAAAAGCUCGUAGUCGGAUUUUGGCAUCACGCCGAACUGUCUGCCGAUUGGUAAGUACGGUUUGGCGGGUGCUUCCUUCCGGAGGCUCGUUCCCUUCUUCAUUGAAGGGUUCGUUGGUUCCGGGUCUUUUACUUUGAGAAAAUUAGAGUGUUCAAAGCAGGCCUAUGCUCUGAAUAGGUUAGCAUGGAAUAAUAGAAUAGGACUUUGGUUCUAUCUUGUUGGUUUCUAGUACUGAAGUAAUGAUUGAUAGGGAUAGUUGGGGGUGCUAGUAUUGAGCGGCCAGAGGUGAAAUUCUUGGAUUCGCUCAAGACUAACUUAUGCGAAAGCAUUCACCAAGGAUGUCUUCAUUA